GCCCUAGUAGUGAGUCUUUGAAGGCUUUAAUGAACAAUCGAGAUUCGUUUACUUAAGGAUUCAUUUAAAAACGUUUACGGACGAAACACCGCUGAUACUUUGAAUGUACUGUGUAUCUGGUCAAAUGAGAUUCCAGAGACGUGAAAGAAAGAUUCAUACACAGUAAAUCAAAGCCGUAACCCUCGGAUUCAAAUGCUCUUUGUCAGCAAUCAGCCGCCCUGCCAACCGAUCGGAUGAGAGGAAAUCCACUGCAUACAGAUUUCAACAUCAGCUGCCAAACAUAAUGAUCCAAGCUAGAACGGUCCUGAGGGACAGAGCAGUUCCAGCGACACUCACUGGCCGGAGGAGGGCGCUCUGGAGCCGCCGUCACCUGCUUCAGUAAACAGCUUCAUCUAUGUUAUCAUCACUGUCUCCUCCAAACUCGUCUCCAUUGUCAAAGUGGGACAUGAUGUAAUCUGUUUCCUGUUACACACAUACAUAGGAUUAAUUGGCUAAAACUUGUAUUGAAUGUUGGUUUAAUACAGGUUCACCUCAGUCAAUAGCAUUUGUGGUAUAAUAUUGAUUACUACACAAUAUUCUAAAAGGGCAAAAUCAAGGUUAUACUGAGGAAGUAAAUGGGAGAUUUUUUUUAGAGGCUUUAAAAGCUUAUAAGUUUAUAACAGCACA
rnacentral:lncRNA from 1 species